GAUGAACGCUAGCGGGAGGCUUAACACAUGCAAGUCGAGGGGUAUUAGUAGCAAUACUGAGAGACCGGCGCACGGGUGAGUAACGCGUAUGCAACCUGCCGUUAACCGGGGGAUAGCCCGUCGAAAGGCGGAUUAAUACCCCAUAAUAUUUUAGUACUGCAUGGUAUUGGAAUAAAAGCUUAGGUGGUUAACGAUGGGCAUGCGUGACAUUAGCUGGUUGGUAGGGUAACGGCCUACCAAGGCGACGAUGUCUAGGGGUUCUGAGAGGAAGGUCCACCACACUGGUACUGAGACACGGACCAGAAGCCUACGGGAGGCAGCAGUGAGGAAUAUUGGUAAAUGGCCGGAAGGCUGAACCAGCCAUCCCGCGUGCAGGAAGACGGCCCUAUGGGUUGUAAACUGCUUUUGUACGGAACGAAACGGCUCUCUCUAAUACAGGGGGCUAAUGACGGUACCGUAAGAAUAAGCACCGGCUAACUACGUGCCAGCAGCCGCAGUAAUAC
rnacentral:rRNA from 1 species